rnacentral:tRNA from 1 species
GCUCGGAUGGCGGAAUUGGUAGACGCGCCAGGUUCAGGGUCUGGUGUCCGCAAGGAUGUGCUGGUUCGACUCCAGUUCCGAGCA